rnacentral:rRNA from 1 species
AUUGAACGCUGGCGGCAUGCUUUACACAUGCAAGUCGAACGGUAACAGGCCGCAAGGUGCUGACGAGUGGCGAACGGGUGAGUAAUGCAUCGGAACGUGCCCAGUCGUGGGGGAUAACGCAGCGAAAGCUGCGCUAAUACCGCAUACGAUCUAUGGAUGAAAGCGGGGGACCGUAAGGCCUCGCGCGAUUGGAGCGGCCGAUGUCAGAUUAGGUAGCUGGUGGGGUAAAGGCUCACCAAGCCAACGAUCUGUAGCUGGUCUGAGAGGACGACCAGGCACACGGGGACUGAGACACGGCCCAGACUCCUACGGGAGGCAGCAGUGGGGAAUUUUGGACAAUGGGCGCAAGCCUGAUCCAGCAAUGCCGCGUGCAGGAAGAAGGCCUUCGGGUUGUAAACUGCUUUUGUACGGAACGAAACGGCUCUGGUUAAUACCUGGGGCUAAUGACGGUACCGUAAGAAUAAGCACCGGCUAACUACGUGCCAGCAGCCGCGGUAAUAC